CCGUCCUGGAACAGCUCGGCCCACCACUUCACCAGGCUGGCUCCGCUCGCCCAAAACUCAGCCCUCACGCGAUGGAGCCAGCCAUCAAUCAUCGCCUCAUCGGCGCCCCAAAUUGCGUUUGUUCCUUGUUGACCAUCAGAAAAUCCCUAAAUCCCCAUCGCCUGCGUCAUUCGCUUCCAGAUGCGCCGCGCCGCCAUCGAGGAUCCCCUUUCGCAGCCGGCUCUAUCGGCGAUGGAUCCACCCUUGAUGCUGCCUGCUCCGAUCAAUCAAGGCUAGUUCAUUCGUCGGGGCGCACGCUGAUGGUAGGAGGCAGGCGGACUCACGAGCAUUAGAAUUCCAGAUCGGUAGGCAUCCGCUUCUUGGAGCUCGUCGUCCUGGUGCGGCUGCUCCAGAUGCAGAUCUUAGCAGUGGGAGUGGCAGUGGUGGAGCCCCCCCAUCGGUGGUAGCUGCGGUGACCCCGCGGGCUGUGAUCGUGGAGGCACGGUGGCGAGCCGGGUGGGCAUGGGUCCCUCCCCGCGGCUGCAUGUCGCCCAGGCACAUUGAGCUGCUAGCUGCCAUGUGUUUGGUCGUCCAUUGCUGGCUUUAGUCUCACAACAUUUCGCAGGUCGCCGAGGUACGAUCAACUAAGGGGUGAUGCUGGUGCACGCUCUGUGUUUGCGUAAAUGCCCCGGCGAAGUUGAAGCUCCGCGCAGGUCGAGCAUCGCUUGUUCAUUUCUCUGUGGUCUGUGCUUCCAUAGUUUUGUUUGAUUCAUUCAAAUAUGUACUGCCGUAGGUUACAUAACUUGGUACAAGCAGGCUGCAUACUUUAGUAUAGUUGAUUUCACCAGAUUCUGCAGUUAUGAUCGAUUUCUUUGGAUCUGGGUUCUUAAUAGCACCAAUCUAAAAUCUUGAAUUAUAUCUGAACCUGGAUGAUAUUUUUCAGUAAAUUCAUGGAUUUACGUUAUCACAUAUCAUGAGUUUGAUUCUUGUAACUCAUAGUCAGAAAAUUAUGUCAAUCAUUUUUUGUUUUACUGUAUUUUUUUGUGCAUUUGUGCCCAUGAGCUUAUUUCUGACUAUUGUACUUCUCAGUUCACGAUUACUGUAGCCUCAGUACUGAAAAACAAUGCUCACCAUUCUGGAAUUGGCUCUGAUUUCCAUGUCGUUUUUUACUGCUUCUGCUUUUCUGAUGGUCAUCGCUUUGUCAACUACAGUGAAGAAGCCCAACUCUAGUGACUAUGCAUACGGCAAAAUGUUCCUCAGCUUAGGUUGUUUGAGCUGCUCAAACAAGCACAUAUGUGAUGUAUGUUUUUUUGUAUGCUGUCAAUUCUACUGAAAGCCAGAUAAGUUUUUUAAGGUGUUGCAAGCACAUGUGUGCUGGUUAUUGUAAUUCUUUAGAGACAUUUUGCUACAAGGUCCCUCGGAACCUAUCGAUGCAAAAUAGUGGUACCUCUCCAUCCUGAUUAUAGUCUUUAGUUAAUCAAAAUAUCGUAACAGUUGGCUUGUGGUAACUGGUUUCUCAGAA